rnacentral:lncRNA from 1 species
CAGCUCUUUCACCCAGGCUGGAGUGCAGUGGCACAAUCUCAGCUCACCACAACCUUCACCUCCUGGGCUCAAGCAAUCCUCUCACCUCAGCCUUCCAGGCUUCCAGAUAGCUGGGACUACAGGCAUGUGCCACCAUGUCCGGCUAAUUUUUGUAUUUUUUUGUAGAGCCGGGGGUUUGCCAUUUUGCCUAGGCUGGUCUCAAACUCUUGGGCUUAACGGAUCCUCCCUCCUUGACCUCCAAAAGUGUUGGGAUUACAGGCGUGANNNNNNNNNNUCACGCCUGUAAUCCCAACACUUUUGGAGGUCAAGGAGGGAGGAUCCGUUAAGCCCAAGAGUUUGAGACCAGCCUAGGCAAAAUGGCAAACCCCCGGCUCUACAAAAAAAUACAAAAAUUAGCCGGACAUGGUGGCACAUGCCUGUAGUCCCAGCUAUCUGGAAGCCUGGAAGGCUGAGGUGAGAGGAUUGCUUGAGCCCAGGAGGUGAAGGUUGUGGUGAGCUGAGAUUGUGCCACUGCACUCCAGCCUGGGUGAAAGAGCUGGACCCUGUCUCAAACAAACAAACAAACAAACAAACAAAACUUUAUGUGGUGGUCUUCAAGCUAAAUUCUAAAUCUUUAUUUUGUAUUUUCUAUAUUACUUUGUAACCCAAGAAACUCUAUUAGAGACAAAUUUCUCUAUC